UCCAGCUUCCACAAUACGGGCUUCGGGACCUGCCCUCGACCGUGACGCCCUGAGGUAGCCCAGACUCCAACCCCGUGGAGUCAUUCUUUACCUUCUUAAUUUUCUCAGACCCUGUGUGCAACCUGUUACCCAAUCCUGUCCACAUCACCUCCCAGAUAUAUCCUGAACUGACCCCUUCUCAUUCCCAGCCCCCCGACCAACGCUCCCACGUCCCAACUAGUCUGGUUCGAGGCACCAGCACCUCUUGCCUGGAUUAUUGCAAUGGCCUUUUAGGAAUUGCUGGGGUCUGUGCCUUAGGCCUACCUUCUUAGAGUCGAUGCUCCACAAAACCAGGAGCCUUUAAAUUUAAGGGAAUGUCUCUCCUCUGACCAGCCUCCUACGUUGGUUUCUAUCUCAGUCAGGGUAAAGACAAAGUCCUUAAAAAGGGCUCCAAAGCCCUGUCCCCGGGGGGAGGCCUGAAUCUUGGGGACCUCUCCUCCUGCUGCCCUCCCUCCUGAUAGUUCCACUCACCUCCUCUGCUGUCCACAGCACCCUCCGGACUCCCAGCUUGCAAUCCCGGCCUGGCUGCCAUCUGUGCCCAGAAUGUUCUUUCCCGCAUCAGCCACACCCUGUUCCCACCCGUCCUUUAACCCUCUCUAUCCACGCACAGUGCUUUAUCUUUCCCUUAGGGCCAAACGCUUUACGUGGUAGCUAUUGAAGGCUUUCACAGUUGGCUCUUUGCAGGCGCGUAAGGCUGUGGUCCACAGACCUGUGUUUUACCGGCAGGAGGAGGACGAUCCCUGCUCUAUGCUGUCAGCUCUGGGCUCAGAGGCGUCACUCUCACAGCUUGAGACUGAGUCCAGGGCGGGGAUUUACGCACCGAGAUCGGCGUGGGGCACCCGGGAGGCUCCGGCCCCGGAGCGUGGGACUCGGUUUCCACUCAGGCCACGAUCUCACGGUUGGUGAGUCUGAGCCCCUCUGUGGCGAUAGCACGGGGCCUGUUUUGGUUUCUUUCUUUCUCCCUCUCUCUCUCUCUGCCCCUCCCUUGCUC
rnacentral:lncRNA from 1 species